AUUGCUUCUUGGCCUUUUGGCUAAGAUCAAAUGUAGUAUCUGUUCUUAUCAGUUUAGAUGAUGGGUGGGACCAGAUGUAGCAAGUUGAUUUUUACCUGUGAAGAAAUAUUAUAACAGGUCCUAGAUCACCAAACCUCU
rnacentral:snRNA from 1 species